AGUGAACGCUGGCGGUAGGCCUAACACAUGCAAGUCGAACGGCAGCACAGUAAGAGCUUGCUCUUACGGGUGGCGAGUGGCGGACGGGUGAGGAAUACAUCGGAAUCUACUUUUUCGUGGGGGAUAACGUAGGGAAACUUACGCUAAUACCGCAUACGACCUACGGGUGAAAGCAGGGGAUCUUCGGACCUUGCGCGAUUGAAUGAGCCGAUGUCGGAUUAGCUAGUUGGCGGGGUAAAGGCCCACCAAGGCGACGAUCCGUAGCUGGUCUGAGAGGAUGAUCAGCCACACUUGAACUGAGACACGGUCCAGACUCCUACGGGAAGCAGCAGUGGGGAAUAUUGGACAAUGGGCGCAAGCCUGAUCCAGCCAUACCGCGUGGGUGAAGAAGGCCUUCGGGUUGUAAAGCCCUUUUGUUGGGAAAGAAAAGCAGCAGGUUAAUACCCCGCUGUUCUGACGGUACCCAAAGAAUAAGCACCGGCUAACUUCGUG
rnacentral:rRNA from 1 species